rnacentral:rRNA from 1 species
AGCGGCGGACGGGUGAGUAACACGUGGGUAACCUGCCCAAGAGACUGGGAUAACACCUGGAAACAGAUGCUAAUACCGGAUAACAACACUAGACGCAUGUCUAGAGUUUGAAAGAUGGUUCUGCUAUCACUCUUGGAUGGACCUGCGGUGCAUUAGCUAGUUGGUAAGGUAACGGCUUACCAAGGCAAUGAUGCAUAGCCAAGUUGAGAGACUGAUCGGCCACAUUGGGACUGAGACACGGCCCAAACUCCUACGGGAGGCAGCAGUAGGGAAUCUUCCACAAUGGACGAAAGUCUGAUGGAGCAACGCCGCGUGAGUGAAGAAGGGUUUCGGCUCGUAAAGCUCUGUUGGUAGUGAAGAAAGAUAGAGGUAGUAACUGGCCUUUAUUUGACGGUAAUUACUUAGAAAGUCACGGCUAACUACGUGCCAGCAGCCGCGGUAAUACGUAGGUGGCAAGCGUUGUCCGGAUUUAUUGGGCGUAAAGCGAGUGCAGGCGGUUCAAUAAGUCUGAUGUGAAAGCCUUCGGCUCAACCGGAGAAUUGCAUUAGAAACUGUUGAACUUGAGUGCAGAAGAGGAGAGUGGAACUCCAUGUGUAGCGGUGGAAUGCGUAGAUAUAUGGAAGAACACCAGUGGCGAACGCGGCUCUCUGGUCUGCAACUGACGCUGAGGCUCGAAAGCAUGGGUAGCGAACAGGAUUAGAUACCCUGGUAGUCCAUGCCGUAACGAUGAGUGCUAAGUGU